GACGUAGGGUCCAAGCGUUGUCCGGAUUUACUGGGCGUAAAGAGCGCGUAGGCGGUCCGUUAAGUGUAGAGUGAAAGCUCCGGGCUCAACUCGGAAAUUGCUCUGCAUACUGGCGGACUCGAGGAUGGCAGAGGUUUGUGGAAUUCCUGGUGUAGCGGUGAAAUGCGUAGAUAUCGGAAAAGAACACCAACGGCGAAAGCACUCUGCUGGGCCGACACUGACACUGAGAGACGAAAGCUAGGGGAGCGAAUGGG
rnacentral:rRNA from 1 species